rnacentral:rRNA from 1 species
UACGUAGGGUGCAAGCGUUAAUCGGAAUUACUGGGCGUAAAGCGUGCGCAGGCGGUUUUGUAAGUCUGUCGUGAAAGCCCCCGGCUCAACUGGGGAGGGUCACGCGAUACUGAUCGACUCGAAGGCAGGAGAGGGUAGUGGAAUUCCCGGUGUAGUGGUGAAAUGCGUAGAUAUCGGGAGGAACACCAGUGGCGAAGGCGGCGCACUGGACCACAACUGACGCUGAGGCGCGAAAGCUAGGGGAGCAAACAGG